rnacentral:rRNA from 1 species
CCCUUAGAUGUUCUGGACCGCACGCGUGCUACACUGAGUGGAUCAGCGGGUCAGGUUGCGCGAAAGCGUUUCCUAAUCUUUAAAUCCGCUCGUGAUGGGGAUUGACGGUUGCAAUUUUCUGUCAUGAACGAGGAAUACCUUGUAAGCGCGGGUCAUCAUCCCGCGCUGAAUACGUCCCUGCCCUUUGUACACACCGCCCGUCGCUCCUACCGAUUGAGUGGUCCGGUGAGGCUUUGGGAUCUGAGCGGAAAGAGCGUUUCGCUGUUUCUGCCCGGAAAACUCAGUCGAACCUUAUCAUUUAGAGGAAGGAGAAGUCGUAACA